rnacentral:rRNA from 1 species
GAUGAACGCUGGCGGCGUGCCUAAUACAUGCAAGUCGAGCGGAAAGACGAGUAGGGUGGCUCUCUGAUGUUAGCGGCGGAAGGGAGAGUAAGGCGUGGGUAAGCUAGCGAUGAGAAAGGGGGAAAUACGGGAAACCGGACCUAAUACCGGCUAAGAUUUUGAACAGCGUGGUUCAAAAGUGUAAGACGGCCUUGCGGUCACUUACAGAUGGAUCCGCGGUGGAUUAGCUAGUUGGUAAGGUAACGGCUUACCAAGGCAACGAUGCGUAGCCGACCUGAGAGGAUGAUCGGCCACACUGGAACUGAGACACGGUCCAGACUCCUACGGGAGGCAGCAGUAGGGAAUCUUCGGCAAUGGGCGAAAGCCUGACGGAGCAACGCCGCGUGAAGGAUGAAGGUCUUCGGAUCGUAAACCUCUGUUAUUAGGGAAGAACAUAUGUGUAAGAAACUAGGCAGAUCUUGACGGUACCUAAUCAGAAAGCCACGGCUAACUACGUG